rnacentral:misc_RNA from 1 species
CUCAAUUGCUUUACUAAUUGUUGGGUUUUGGCUUGCAGGGAGUAGAGGACCAUAUAUCUGAUUAAAAAGUCUAGAAUCCUGCCAGAGAAAACGGUCCCCCAGUUCCCACAAAACAUCAACUUUACCGUUUCUUUUCUUGCUUUUCUCCUUAUCUUUGAGACAAAGAAGAUGCUCUUUCAAUAUCUUUUUCUAUAGUUGGAAUCUUUACAACAUUUCUCUGAACUCAAAAGAAACCACCACAUUUCUGUCUCUGCAAUCCAUUCAAACAUAAAAGAGAAACAGAAAUCCCUUCACUACUUCAAAACCCAUCAAAAAUCUUUGCCCGUUAGCGGUUAAAGAAAAGAAAAAGGGCAACUCUUUCAACUGUAGCAGAGAUAGAGAUGGUGAAUAUGCAUCGUCGUCUGCUCGAUACAGAGCUAAGCUUGGCACCGGCAAAUGGGAACAGAGCAGGUGAUUCCUACAUUAAGGAAACAAAUUUCGACACAAACAUGGUGAUCAUAUUGGCUGUCUUGUUGUGUGCGCUGAUUGGUGCGCUUGGAUUGAACUCUAUUCUGCGUUGCGCUUUGCGUUGUAGCCGUAGGUUUACUCUCGAGACACCAGAGCAAGCUGCAGCUCGUUUGGCCGCCACAGGGCUCAAGAAACGCCAUUUGCGCCAGAUUCCAGUGGCGGUUUACGGCACUGAAGUGAAUGUCCCGGCAACGGAGUGCCCAAUUUGCUUAGGGGAGUUUGCUGAUGGAGAAAAAGUUCGGGUGCUUCCUAAAUGCAAUCAUAGGUUCCAUGUGAGGUGCAUAGACACAUGGCUUGUGUCACACUCCUCAUGCCCCAACUGCCGACUUUCAUUACUUGAACACACGGCGGCUGGUUCAGGUGCAGCUAGGCCACAGCCGGAGAAUGAUGACCGACGGCAAGCUAGUGUUGCUGUUGUUGUUGAAGGGCCAAGUUGAUGAAAUACUGCAACAACGCAGAGGAAGUCCUAAUUGAGUUUUCUGUUUUAGAUGAUGACUAAGUUGUAUAAUGAUAAAAAGAUUUAUAGGCCAAAUUGCAAAUUCAGAAAAGUUUUAGAUUAUCACUUUAAAAAACGGAAAUGGGAGCAGAUUUUUUUUUACCAAAAAAAAGCAAUAAUAUCAAUAAAAUAAAU